UUUGUUCCGGAGAGUUCUCCUUCAUUGAUUAACAAAAGCAGGAAUAUGAUUUUUUCUCUCUCUCUCUCUCUCUCUCUCGCUCUCUCUCUCUCUCCCCCGGCCCUUUUCUAAAAGCCUGAAAUGUCAAGCCUUUUGAAAGCAGAUUAUUCUUCCUCCGUGCAAUGAAUGCAGCCCGAGGAUCCCUUUGUCUACAAUUAAAUAUUCCGGCAUAAAUAUAAAGGGAAAUCAGAGAUGGGGAAGAUUGACUCAUGGGAGGCUGGCGAGGUAGAUGUGCACUCUGAUAGUGCCAGUGGCUUUGCCUCUAAUUAAAUAUGCCACCGGGGCUCAAAGCAUUCGCCUGCCGCCACCGGCACGGCGAGCUGCCCCACGCCGUUGGCGAGAAAUAUCUCACAUCAUCAGUCUGUCCGCAGGCUUCCUCCCGGGCGUCCAAAAGGUACCGCGUAAUUGUUUUGGCGAUUGUUUGCGUCGGAGGGGAACGAAAGGUGAUACCUUCCGGGAAAUGCACAAAUGCCGAGAUGCAUCGAAUAUAAAAAUGGAAGGAGGGGAAAAAAAAGUUUUCUGCUGUUUUGCGAUCCGGACAGAUAAUUGCUGGGCACAAUGGGGAAAGUUCUGGAAAUGAUUUCUUGGGGGCUGCUGUUUGUCUUGACGCCGCUGCCUGGAGCUCUUUACAUAUUUAUGUCUCCAACUUUGUCACUCUCAGUGGUCUGUGUUACAUGUGGACUGCGUUUGUCUUGCUCUCGGUUUCACGCGCAGAGUCUUCUGGAGAAACUCUCUCCCGUCCACUUCCGUCCUGUAAUAUUACGCGUGUGAAACUGGAAGUGAUCUGGAAAAUUCCUUCGCGGCUUUACCGUCAGGCGAUGCUGCGUCAGGGAUGGCGGAGCCAGCGGGAAGUGAGCCGCUUUCAGAGCCGGGCCUGUUGCCACGGAGACGAUGGAAGCCGUGUCGCGCUGCAGUGUAGGGUGGCGGGAGAAGGUGUUUCAAAGGCAGGCCGAGCUCCGAGUGCCGUGGUGUGCUCCUUCAGCGCGCGCGGCGAAACCAAAGCAGCCAGUCGCCGGCCAAUCCUCGGACGCCCCCGGCUCCUUUCCUCCAGCUCGCCCUCGGGAUGUGAACCCCUCUCGCUCCUGCUCUGCGGACGUGUUCCUGCGCUGAGGAGACACCCCCUGCUGUCUGAAGAAGGACUCGACGGAGGGAUGUGACGCCGCGGUGCACGGAGGGGAGGUACCGGCUCCGCUUCCACCUUGGGGGGGAGGGGUGUCCGGGGCCUGGAAAACACCCUGGAUGUUCCUGAAGCUCUAGGCCUCGGAGAAACGGCUGGACAGAAGUAUGAUGCGUGCGGACGCUUGCCUUGUCCUCCAAAGCCACCUUGGUCAAGGUUUCGUGGCUGUUAAAGAGUUGCACUGCGACCAAAGGGUCCUUCAUUUGUACCGGUGGGGAGGGUGAUCCAAAUGAAAGUGCUCCAGCGAACGUCCAGCUCUUCGGGAAGGCAGUGCCGGUGCACGUGGCCUACUGGUGAAGUGUGAAUUUGGGUGGAGGACUCGCACCUACAGUACGCUGGGUGCUGCGGCCCUUGGAGAACAUGCCAGCGUUCUUCUCGGAUGAUGCUGCUGCUGCUGAAGAGCAAGGCUUCCUAGGGUUGAGGAGUUUGCUUCCAAAACCUAAGCAGGAGGAAGAGGAACAGAGGGCAGCUUCUAUCUUGAACUACUGCUGAGGUUCACUGCUGCCCACCUGAAGACACGGGCUGGACGCUCUGGGGACUCUGCUUUGGAUGUGAAGCGUGUCCUCGCGACCGCAGCAAGGCAGUGAUUCGCACUUCAUGAUGGAGUGUUUUAUAGACGUCCGCCUUGUCUGGACAGCGUCCAGAGCAAUCUGAGGUAAGACCCUACGCAAGGGACAAGGACAUAACACGGACGCUGGCUACUUGGGGUGAAGGUUCGGGCG
rnacentral:lncRNA from 1 species